AACCUGGUUGAUCCUGCCAGUAGUCAUAUGCUUGUCUCAAAGACUAAGCCAUGCAUGUCUAAGUAUAAAUGCUAUACAAUCGAAACUGCGAAUGGCUCAUUAAAACAGUUAUAAUUUAUAUGAUAAUCGAAUUUACAUGGAUAACCGUGGUAAUUCUAGAGAUAAUACAUGCUGUUAAGCCCAACUUAUGGAAAGG
rnacentral:rRNA from 1 species